rnacentral:tRNA from 1 species
GCCUGGGUGGCUCAGUGGUGGAGCGCCUGCCUUUGGCUCAGGUCGUGAUCCCCGGACCCAGGAUCGAGUCCUGGAUUGGGCU